AUUGAACGCUGGCGGCAUGCCUUACACAUGCAAGUCGAACGGUGACAGGUCUUCGGAUGCUGACGAGUGGCGAACGGGUGAGUAAUACAUCGGAACGUGCCCGAUCGUGGGGGAUAACGGAGCGAAAGCUUUGCUAAUACCGCAUGCGAUCUACGGAUGAAAGCAGGGGACCGCAAGGCCUUGCGCGGACGGAGCGGCCGAUGGCAGAUUAGGUAGUUGGUGGGAUAAAAGCUUACCAAGCCGACGAUCUGUAGCUGGUCUGAGAGGACGACCAGCCACACUGGGACUGAGACACGGCCCAGACUCCUACGGGAGGCAGCAGUGGGAAAUUUUGGACAAUGGGCGAAAGCCUGAUCCAGCCAUGCCGCGUGCAGGAUGAAGGCCUUCGGGUUGUAAACUGCUUUUGUACGGAACGAAAAGACUCCUUCUAAUAAAGGGGGUCCAUGACGGUACCGUAAGAAUAAGCACCGGCUAACUACGUGCCAGCCGCCGCAGUAACAC
rnacentral:rRNA from 1 species